rnacentral:rRNA from 1 species
UGGGGAAUAUUGCACAAUGGGCGAAAGCCUGAUGCAGCAACGCCGCGUGAGUGAUGAAGGCCUUCGGGUUGUAAAGCUCUGUCUUUUGGGACGAUAAUGACGGUACCAAAGGAGGAAGCCACGGCUAACUACGUGCCAGCAGCCGCGGUAAUACGUAGGUGGCAAGCGUUGUCCGGAUUUACUGGGCGUAAAGGAUGCGUAGGCGGAUUUUUAAGUGAGAUGUGAAAACCCUAAGCUUAACUUGGGGACUGCAUUUCAUACUGGAAAUCUAGAGUGCGGGAGAGGAGAAUGGAAUUCCUAGUGUAGCGGUGAAAUGCGUAGAGAUUAGGAAGAACACCAGUGGCGAAGGCGAUUCUCUGGACCGUAACUGACGCUGAGGCAUGAAAGCGUGGGUAGCAAACAGGAUUAGAUACCCUGGUAGUCCACGCCGUAAGCGAUGAGUACUAGGUGUAGGAGGUAUCGACCCCUUCUGUGCCGCAGUUAACACAAUAAGUACUCCGCCUGGGAAGUACGAUCGCAAGAUU